GUUAGAGGUUAAGUUACCAGCGUCAACCUGGUACAGAUGAGACAGAUAUAGUCAAAUAUAUUAUUAUAUACGUAUGUAACAAGCAAAUAGACAUAGUAAAUAUUAUAAUGUAAGUAAAUGCGUUCAUAAAUGUAAUUUCAAUCUUUUGAUAAUUCACCGAACCCUUUUAACGAGUGCCUUUCGCGCUUGUUAUCGCGAAUUUGUUUUUAUCCGAGUUAAUUAAUUUUAGUAAAUCAUAACAGGGAAUGGGGCGGCCAUUAUUACUUUGUGUUUUGUGUUCGCCGCGCGUGUAUGCUGUUGGCAGUGCAAUGUAAAGAAAACGUUUGUUGAUUGGUUAUAUGUAGUUGAAGUUAACUACUAACAUUACUAACACAGGUAAGUUUUCGAGAGCAUUUGGAUCAACAUUAUCUGGAACAACUGUAUGUUUCGAAUUGAGCGUCAUUGUUUGCUGCACUGGUAAAAUGAACUCAAACAAGCGGCUUCCCAGUAUCCAUCUUAUCUUUCGCUUUGUAUAUACAAAGUUUCGAGGACAAUAACAUGAACAGGUAAUAAUCAUGAGUACCACCAAUCUGUCAGUGUUCUGUCUCAUCUCUCCUGAAUACUACGUUGACUUGUAAACAAUGCAAAAUCACCCGAAGAAUAUUUGGUAAUUAAUUCAUCGAUCGUCAUUUGCAGAUAAGUUUUGCUAUUUUAUUCUUAUUUAUUUAAGUACACAGCAAGAGUCGUUUGGUAGAAAUUAAUGAAUCAUAUGUUUUUGUACAGACAAAUUGGCCCGGAUAAAAACAAAAUAAAUCUAUUUUCAUAACGAAACACGAUAAUGUAAUGUCACUUAAUUGAUCAGUUGUAUGUUUUAGUUCUCGUUAAAAUAUAAUUGAAAUGCUAAUUAUUUGUAUAUAUAAUAAAACUGUAAGUAAGCUAUGUCUGUAUAUUGAAUAUAUUAAAGAAAAAUAAUUUGAAGGUCUUUAUGGGACUAAUACAAGGUAAAAUAUUUUUUUAAAGAAUUUUCAUUUAUAUUUGCUCGCGCAUCACAAGAAAACUACUGCAUGGAAUUUGACGCGAUUUUUAGAAUCAUACAUACAUACAUAGCGGAUGGUUUAACUUAUCGCGAUACGUUGCUUACUCGAGAUAUUGACGAAAAUAAUAACACUAUUCUGCGUCUAUUACGCAAGACAAAAGCUAAUUAUCCACUGAAUGUAACUGUUACUAUUAAACGAGCUCCAUAUAAUUUAUCUUGUAUGAUAGCAAGCAAUAAAUAACCCUAUUAUUUCGUAUAGUCGCACACACAUUUUUUUAUAUCUUGUAUGUGUAAUUAAUUUGUAUCUAUAGGUUACACUAAACAAGUUUAGGCAACCCAACAAAAAAUACCGGUCAAUCUAUUGAUUGACGAAAAGUACCCUAUGUCAAAGAUGCAAGGCUUUGGUCAAUCGACUUAACAAAAUUGUAAAACCAAACCAUGUCGCGUUCUAUUUUCGUACAGCGCCAUCUAGUGACACCAACACAAACUAAUCUGAUAUAGCGUAAGACAGUCGCAUAUUUCACACUAAACUUUGGUUUAUGGUUAAAAUAGUCGAUCGGAGUAAAAUUUUAAUUUUUAAUAAUAAUAAUUACGUAGUUAUUUUAUCCAGUUACUACGAGAAAAGCGCACACGAAUUGACAUAGCCUGAAAUAACUCGAAUGUAUUAACUGUAUAGUGCUAGUAAAAUAAAUUAUAAUGUGUAUCUUAACUGUCGAAUGCAUUAUAUAUUUACUGUAGCCACAGGUGAUAUUCAAGGGCAGGCCGUGAACCCGCCACUGAAAACUUUAUACAAGCCCUAGGGUUGGUGCGUGUGGAUAAAUACUAAGAAUCAAGUGUUCGUAUUAGUCCACAGUUGAGCAAAUGCUUUGCUCUCUUGGACAAUUUUUAAUUAAUAAACCAGGUUUUGCCCGCGGUUUCGCCCGCGUAAAUUCAUUUCGUCCCGGAAACAGUUAUUCCGCCAUACUUCAAACUACAUGUAUGCAAAAUUUCAUGGAAGAUUGAUCGAGUAGAUAGAUUGUGAAGAGGUAAGUAACAAACAAAUGUACUUUCGCAUUUAUAAUAUUAGUUAGGAUAAUUUGAUAUAUAAUGGAUAUAAUAAUUUGCG